rnacentral:rRNA from 1 species
AGCGAACGCUGGCGGCAGGCCUAACACAUGCAAGUCGAACGAACUCUUCGGAGUUAGUGGCGGACGGGUGAGUAACACGUGGGAACGUUCCUUUUGGUUCGGACUAACUCAGGGAAACUUGUGCUAAUACCGAAUGUGCUCUUCGGGGGAAAGAUUUAUCGCCAUUAGAGCGGCCCGCGUCUGAGUAGCUAGUUGGUGAGGUAACGGCUCACCACGGCGACGAUCAGUAGCUGGUCUGAGAGGAUGACCAGCCACACUGGGACUGAGACACGGCCCAGACUCCUACGGGAGGCAGCAGUGGGGAAUCUUGCGCACUGGGCGAAAGUCUGACGCAGCCAUGCCGGGGGAAUGAUGAAGGUCGGAGGAGUGUAAAAUUCUGUCACCGGGGACGAUAAUGACGGUACCCGGAGAAGAAGCCCCGGCUAACUUCGUG